UUUCCUUGUUUUCAGCCUGUCCCAUGGAUCGCUAUGGAGUGCGUUGUAACGAGACAUGCCCAUUGUGUAAAAACCUCGGUGUCUGUCAUCCCAAAAAUGGCUCCUGUAUUUGUUCCCCGGGAUUCUUUGGUCCUCUAUGUGACAAAAUUUGUCCCGACGGUUACUAUGGAUACAAAUGUAGCGCCAAGUGUUCCUGUGAAAAUGGCGCCAACUGUAGUAAAUCUGACGGAAGAUGUGAUUGUCCCCCAGGUUAUAUUGGAGCAAGCUGUUCUCAGAGUUGUCCCGAGGGUUAUUACGGAAAGCACUGCAAUAUGACCUGUUCCUGUGACGUCACACAAUUCUGUCAUCCAUCCUUCGGCUGUAUCAAUCAACCAAACAUCGCCAAGGUAGUGAAUAACGUAGAGGAGGCGUCUGCCAGCGGUCUAAUUACCGGAAUCAUUCUAGCCGUCAUUGCUUUGACACUUAUAAUCGUCAUCAUGGUCAUCUAUUACAAGCGUCGAGUCGGGCGUCUAAAGUCUGAGAACCGCGCAGUGAUGCAUUACAUACAAUCCACUGAAGGAACCGACGCAGACGGCAAUUUACCAGUUGUUGGAAUAACAAACCCCGUGUAUACAUCGGACAAUCAGAAUGUUUCUAAUAUUGAGCGGGAAAUACAUCGCCAGCAGCAACAGAGCAACUACCAACGCGCAACUUCCUGUAACCAGAACGAGGUUGCAUGUAGUAGCCCUAUCAAUGACCUAACGGUUGCUAAAAACGUGAGUCUUCCGGUAAAUGGAGCAUGUGCAUCAGGAUCUUUGUAUGAUGACGACAACGACUCAGACAGAUAUACAACGCUGAAAGAUAUCCAAGCUAAACUUGACGAAAUCAAUAUAACAGAAAACGCGGCCUGUGCCAAAUUGGAUGCCAAACAUGGAAAUAUGUACAACAAUCUUAAGGUCAACUUAGAUGACCUUGAAGCCCCCAAAAGACAAAAUAUACCUGACUAUGACAACGUAUCAAUAGAUUCUACAAGUUCAAUUGAUUCAAUUGAAUUCGAAAAGAGACAUAAUAGAGAGUUGUUUCAACAAGAUUGAUUUAAUUCAAGAAUCUGGACAAUUGAUUUCAUCUUCCGACAAUGAACAUAUACUACCACCAAGAGAUACAAACUAUGACAGUGUUAAACCCCAUUCUUUUGUUAACAUCAGUGAUCCAUUCCCAACAGGAGACAAUAUUCCACCUCAAACGGAAACAAUGCAAAGUGUCAUUCAAUCAGAACUCGACGACAUUGCUGAAACAAACAAUGACGUAGCUGACAUUACGUCAUCAUCAUGCACAGUCGGAAAUAAACUCUCAGAGAAUGACGUCACAAAUUUGUUAGAUGAAAUUGCGGAUUUGUCAUGAUUAUGACUUCAUUUUGGUUUUGUUUUAUUUUCUGGUUUUUUUUUUUGUUUGUUUUUUUUUUUUUGCUGCUCUUGAUAAUAAUAUAGCUACUGACACGAAAGAAUUUGUGGUUAUAAUAAAGAGCGCAAAAAUUGUUUUUUUUAUGUGUAACAGUGCUUUUUAUUCGUUUUUAAUGUAUAGUGUUUGCUAUGUAAUGUAUUAUCGUUUUUAAAUUAUGCAGGUUCCAUGAUUUUAUCAUUUUCUAUGGCUGUAAAUCUUUCAGUACUAUUGAAACAUUUUAUACAAUUAUAGCACUGUAUACAGUCAAGUAUCUGUGUAAGGCUUAUGUUUGUUGAUUUUCAUGAAGCAGGUUAUAUUUAUUAUAUAACGAUUAUGUCUGUUUUUACAGACAUUAUUAUUUUUAGUUUGAAAAUUUUCAGUGGAGAAAACAGUUUAAAUUAAACCCCUUUUCCUCUGUUGCAUGUAUGUUUAAUUUGGUAUUGUUAAUAGUUUUCCAUUCGUCUAAUUAUUCAUCGUUUAAUAGAUGACCAUGUUUUUUGUGAACCUUUCAGUCAUAUUUUGUUGAUACCGAACCACGUACCUUUGAUGUUUAAUUUAUUUGUAAUUUUGAUUAACCAAUAUAUGAAUUAUAUUUCAUAAUUCAGCAAAUAUAGCUGUUUAUAUUUUCACUAAAAUCACAAGUUUACUUUAAUACUUACAUGCCUAAAUAAGUUAUCAUGUCUCAAUUAUGGAGAGCAUAAUAUCACCUGUCACUUGUGCUAGAAGAAAACAAAAUACCAAUUUUAACCCCAUUGUGUUCUUGAAUCCAUAGUGUACAAAUUAAACUUAAAUUUAGAACUUCAGGUUCUCCAACAUUAAGGAUAUAGAGAGGAACGCCCGAAGCUUCAGCCUAUUUUGAUAUUGACAUUUUUAACCUUUUUUCGAGUACGAAAAAAUCAGAAAUGUGUGUAUAUGUAUUUCUUUUGGCAUAUCAUUAUCACUAAUCGUUAUCAUUCAUUUGUUAAUUUUUCAAUAAAUUCAUUACUCUG
rnacentral:misc_RNA from 1 species